rnacentral:lncRNA from 1 species
AGACAGUGGUUUUACACUGAAAAAGGGCAGGUUUAGAUUAGCUAUUAGGAAGAUGUUCAUUAUUGUGAGGCUGAGGAGGCACUGGUACAGAUUGCCCAGAGAAGUUGUGGAUCCCCCAUCCCUGGCAGUGUUCAAGGAUAGGCUAGACGAGGCCCUUAGCAACCCGGUCUAGUGGAAGGUGUCCCUGACUAUGACAGGGGGGUUGGAACUCAAUGAUCUUUGGGGUCCCUUCCAGCUCCAGCACAUUCUAUGACUGUAUGAUGACACACUCUUUCAUGUGUCCUGUGAGUACACUGGUCAUCAGCAAGAGGACAGAACAGAAUUGCUGAAGAUUUAAAAUGGCUGUUUCUGCAGGCAAUGCUUGCAGAGAGUGCUCUGCAGGGCUACACCAAUCGUAGGGGUUAAGGCAUUCUCAGUGUUGCUACAAUUACUGGCUCCAAUUGUUCUAAGCUCAACCAUUUUCUAGCAGAUACAUGUUAACCCUUUAUCUUCAUGGCAUCCUGUUUCAUGCCUCACCAUCAAGGAAUAGGGUAUUCCUCAGGCAUAGGAAUGGGGAUAGAGAAAGCUGCUCAGAUGCUGCUGUUGCCUGACUGCACCAGAGAUAAAUCUUUGGAGAGAGAAGUCUGUCUUCAGCAGGAGAGGCUAGCUCUUUUUAACUAAAGUCUCCCGUGGUAUCAGCUUGCUUGACAUUUCUGAAGAAGUGAUUUGGUUUCAAGUAGAAAGGAUUCUUUGGUUACCCAUGCAACUGAUGAACCCUAGGUGGUACACAAAUAUUUUUAUCCUAAUGAUCAAAAUGGAUGGAAAUAUAGGAUGAAUUGUUUUUUUCACUCCCUGAAGAUACUGGCUGAGACAUACUGACAUAACAGUACCAGUAGAAGCAGGUAUUUAAGGGUGGAUUUUUCAUUUUUUAAAGAGGGGACUUUGGCUCUCAGUCUGUCCCUAUUAAACCUGUUAAACUGCAUUAGUGGCCAGAAUGAAAUAAAAUUUUUCAAUAAGAC